rnacentral:rRNA from 1 species
UACGUAGGGUCCAAGCGUUGUCCGGAAUUAUUGGGCGUAAAGAGCUCGUAGGCGGUCCGUUAAGUCCGCUGUGAAAGUCGGGGGCUCAACCCUCGGAUGCCGGUGGAUACUGUCGGGCUUGAGUACGGAAGAGGCGAGUGGAAUUCCUGGUGUAGCGGUGAAAUGCGCAGAUAUCAGGAGGAACACCAAUUGCGAAGGCAGCUCGCUGGGACGUUACUGACGCUGAGACGCGAAAGCGUGGGGAGCAAACAGG